ensembl:lncRNA
GAGACCAUUAGCGUUGGGGUUAAAGGUCGGGAGACCGUUAGCCUGGUAUUUAACGGUCUUCCUGCUCUGCUGAUGAUCAGCCUAACGGUGGUCCUCUUGGCAGAGUGCAGCAAGACGUGGACCUAGGUCUUAUUCUGUGGCCCUCCAGGCCCUUUGGCCUCAGGACCAUCGGGUGAGCUGGGGACCCAGAACAGGCUGAGAGGACUGUCUCACAGAACUCUGGAGCCCCCAUAAACGCCGGAGCCCCCCUCACCACCACCCACCGCCCAGGUCCAGACCUGGAAGCAGCCGGGAACCUCACCCCCAUCCCUGCUCUGGUUCCGGGAGUCCUCAGCAGCUGGAGGAUAUCACAGGACCAUUAAGGAGGUUUCAUCCAGAAGGCGAGAAGAAACAUCCCUCAGAUGCAAAGAACAUCAAGAACUAGCUGGAUGAAGACACUUUGUUGUUGCCCAAUUAAUAGGGUGAAUCCCUAUAACUGACUCAACUGAAGAGCUCCCUGAGGACCAGCUUGAGGAGCUAUCCAUUUCAACGUUGGAGGAAGAGGCUCUGCCCAAAUCCAUACUCCCCAGGAGGACCUGGUGUUGGAACUGCCCCAGGCCAGGGCUGAGGAACCGCCUCUCCGACCCCUGGAGGAAUCCAGAGCAGCCUAUGAACACGCUCUCCAGGAGGACCUGGUGGUGAAACCGCGUGAGGCCUGGGCUAAGAAGCAGCCUCAGAGGACCCUGAAGGCAUAUGGAGCAGCCUAUGAACACGGUAAAUAUUCAGGGAUCAUCCCUCUUCUGAGAAACAACCCAGUUGAUCAAGGUGGGGCUCUGUUGCUGGCUCUGGUUGGAGAGACUUCACUGAGGACCUGCCAGUCAACCCACCAUGUGACAACACAGAAGACAUUGAGUAUUUCUCCAAGGUGGCCCUUUCAGGAUGUGAAACUGACUGUUUUCUGGAAAGUCUUAGCAUCAGUGAUGCGGAAGACUAUGCAGCCACUCCAGUUGAGUGCUGCCCUCAGACACCAGAUUCGUUCUACAGAAGUCAGUGGUGAUGAUGAGGAAGACUGGAAGAGCAAGAGUGAACAUGGGACCUGGGGUGAAAGGCUCUGCUCUGAAUCCCUGAAGACCUGGACCUGGACCCCAUCCUGGACCCCAGAGGUGGUGGAGCCCCCACAGCACCAGGAGCCUCAUCUGGACCAGAUCAGGGGAGGCCUCAUUGCCUCUCUCCUGAGAGUCCUCAUUUAGUACAGCUUCAGUUGUUUUGCUGCGUUGAUGUAGUAUUAGUUUUAUCUACAGUUUUAUCUUUAUGUUCUGUAUAUAUCUAUAUGUUCCAUAUUUAUAAGUAAGUUUUUUCAUUAAAUGUUUUUAUCUAUUUCAAAAUAACUUUUUGUAAGAACACAUAUGUAUAAAGUAACCCCCUCAACAGAGGUAGAACUUAAGAAAUUGUCAUAAGCCAGUCACCUUAGUGUCCACCACCAGGAUUAUUUCCCCCUUCACGCAACUCAGUCUUUGUUGUUUAAGGAACUGCAAAUUUAGUUCUAACAUCUAUCCUUCUGUCAUUGUCUUUAAGAAUUCUGUUUUCUCACAUCUGCUCAUUCCAGUGGUCAUAGGAGGUCAAUAUUACCCUAGAUCUUUCAAGACUUGCAUGUCAGGAUUUUUCAGAACUCAGUCUGCUUUCAGGGUAAAAAGUUCAUGAUCCAUCAUUGAUCUCCAUUUGUAGCUUAAGCAUGUUUCUCUCUUUUCUUCUAACACAGAGGAUUUCUCUCCAAAAAGGCUCUUUAAAUUUUAGUUGUCAUUCCUUAUAUUUCUCCUGCUCUUUUAUUCCAGCUGCCCAAAGGAUUAUUCUCAUUGACUAUAUUCUCAUGGUGUACAUUUUGUCUCCCAAACUCAUUUAUUUUAUAAGGUAUUUUUGUAAGUAUUAAUCUCUGUCAUGCAGCUCUCUCAUCACCAUAUCCCUCUCCUCUCUGGAAAAAACAUCUUUGUUCUCUGUUUCGAUGACUACAUUACUGUUUGGUUAUUUUGGUUCACUGGUUUUGAUUUUCAGUUUCCACAUUCAAGUGACAUCAUACUGUAUUUGUCACUCUGUCUGACUUAUUUUCCUUAGCAUAAAACCCUCUAGGUCCAUCCAUUUUCUCACAAAUGACAAGAUUUCAUUCUUCUUUUUGGCUGAGUAAUAAUCCAUGCAUACCACAGC